CGACGUGGGCGAACCUGCCCCACUAGAGGGGGACGAACAGCUGGAAACGGCUGCUAAUACCGCAUAACAAGGAGAGAGCGCAUGUUCUUUUCUUCAAAGAUUUAUCGCUAUGGGAUGGACCCGCGUCUGAUUAGCUAGUUGGUGAGGUAACGGCUCACCAAGGCGACGAUCAGUAGCCGGCUUGAGAGAGUGAACGGCCACAUUGGGACUGAGACACGGCCCAGACUCCUACGGAAGGCAGCAG
rnacentral:rRNA from 1 species